rnacentral:rRNA from 1 species
CCUACGGGAGGCAGCAGUGAGGAAUAUUGGUCAAUGGACGAGAGUCUGAACCAGCCAAGUAGCGUGAAGGAUGACUGCCCUAUGGGUUGUAAACUUCUUUUAUAUGGGAAUAAAAUGUUCCACGUGUGGGAUUUUGUAUGUACCAUAUGAAUAAGGAUCGGCUAACUCCGUGCCAGCAGCCGCGGUAAUACGGAGGAUCCGCGCGUUAUCCGGAUUUAUUGGGUUUAAAGGGAGCGUAGGUGGAUUGUUAAGUCAGUUGUGAAAGUUUGCGGCUCAACCGUAAAAUUGCAGUUGAAACUGGCAGUCUUGAGUACAGUAGAGGUGGGCGGAAUGCGUGGUGUAGCGGUGAAAUGCUUAGAUAUCACGAAGAACUCCGAUUGCGAAGGCAGUUCACUGGACUGCAACUGACACUGAGGCUCGAAAGUGUGGGUAUCAAACAGGAUUAGAUACCCCUGUAGUC